AGGGUGAUGCCAGAAGGUGGAGGCUGAAGGUGGAGGCUGAAGGUGGAUUUAGUUUCUUGAUGUCAGAGUUGGUCGGUAUAGAAGGAAGGUGGAUUUUUCUUCCUGGAGGUGGAUGCUUUGCAGGUGGGUGUCAGAGACUGCAGGUGGAGCUGUGUCAUUUUAGUCUGAA